CUGUGAUUUUACUUUCUACACUGCGUGAGCGCACUAAACACAUAAACAGAUGUACAUACUUCAACAAGUUUUCUUCUAAUAC
rnacentral:misc_RNA from 1 species